UUUGCACCUUUGGCAAACAUAGGCAGAAUAUCAGGGCUGCCCCAGCACCAGGUGUGCCUGCUCUCAUUAAACACAGAGUCAAACUCAACAGGAUUCUCCUUCCAGCCUGAACAAAUAGAAACACACACACAUAGCUUGUGAGCAAAACACUCCUACCAUUAACCUUUCCCAUUGAUUUUUUUCCUUUCUGUAUUGGACUCACAAACACACGUGUGGACUUACCUUUAGCAACAGCACUAACAUCCUCAUAGAAGCCAGCGAUGAGAGCAACGUGACCAGGCCGAGACUCAGUGGGCACACGCGUGUGUGACACACCCCAGCUUCCCCACCUCAGGAACGGGGCCCUGGUUGAGCCAUCGGGGAGUAAGGUGAAGAGACUGUCUGCUCGGAGGCCAUCGGCCACCAGUAACACCAGUCUGGAGGCGGGCGGUGGCAGCGGUAUAGCCUGGGGCGUCAUGCCGUGGACCAGGGGGGAGGUGAAGUAGAUGUCGAAGAUAGAAAUAAAGAAGAUCACGUGGACCGUCAGUCCAACCAGGAAGAAGGUGAUCAUCCUCAUUUUGCCAGUUGUGCAGAACAACCUGAAGACGGAGGAAAGAGGAAGGAUUUCAUGUAUCUUGAGGUGAAACAUGAGAAAUAAAACAAACAAAAAUUA